GACGAACGCUGGCGGCGUGCUUAACACAUGCAAGUCGAACGGGCCCGCUCUCUUUUUUGGGGGUGGGUUGAGUGGCGAACGGGUGAGUAUCACGUGAGUAACCUGCCCCCUGCUCCUGGAUAACUGCUUGAAAGGGCGGCUAAUACGGGGUGUGCCGGCUGGUCCGCAUGGGCCUGGUCGGGAUAGUUUCAUCUUCGGGUGUUUCGGUGGGGGAUGGGCUCGCGGCCUAUCAGCUUGUUGGUGGGGUGAUGGCCCACCAAGGCGGUGACGGGUAGCCGGCCUGAGAGGGUGGGCGGCCACACGGGGAAUGAGACACGGCCCAGACUCCUGCGGGAGGCAGCAGUGGGGGGUAUUGCACAGUGGGCGGAAGCCUGAUGCAGCGACGUUGCGUGAGGGAUGGAGGCCUUCGGGUUGUGAACCUCUUUCUCCGGUGGUGAAGGCCCUGUCCGUUGCGGCGGGGUUGACGGUAGCCGGGUAUGAAGCGCCGGCUAACUACGUG
rnacentral:rRNA from 1 species